rnacentral:misc_RNA from 1 species
GAUGAAGAACGUAGUGAAAUGCGAUAAGUAAUGUGAAUUGCAGAAUUCAGUGAAUCAUCGAAUCUUUGAACGCACAUUGCGCCCGCCAGUAUUCUGGCGGGCAUGCCUGUUCGAGCGUCAUUUCAACCCUCAGGCCCCCAGUGCCUGGUGUUGGGGAUCGGCCCAGCCUUCCUGUAAGGCCGCCGGCCCCGAAAUCUAGUGGCGGUCUCGCUGUAGUCCUCCUCUGCGUAGUAGCACAACCUCGCAGUUGGAACGCGGCGGUGGCCAUGCCGUAAAACACCCCACUUCUGAAAGUUGACCUCGGAUCAGGUAGGAAUACCCGCUGAACUUAAGCAUAUCAAUAAGCGGAGGA